rnacentral:hammerhead_ribozyme from 1 species
GCAUUGUUGAAGAGUCCCAUAAUAGGACGAAACGGCCGUCCAGUGU